AGAAGUAAAAGUCGUAACAAGGUUUCCGUAGGUGAACCUGCGGAAGGAUCAUUAUUGUAUAACCGAGGUGCGAGGGCUGUCGCUGACCCGAAAGGUCGUGCACGCUCGAGUGCCCUCACACACAUCCAUCUCACCCCUAUGUGCACCACCGCGUGGGUCCCCCUUUGGCUUGUUCGGAGGGGGGCUUACGUUUUCACACAAACUUUGUAUGCAGUGUAGAAUGUAUUUUUUGUUUUUGCGAUCACGCAAUCAAUACAACUUUCAACAACGGAUCUCUUGGCUCUC
rnacentral:misc_RNA from 1 species